UGGGGCCUCGCCAAGCGGUAAGGCACCGGAUUUUAAUUCCGCCAUUAAGAGGUUCGAAUCCUCGUACCCCAGCCA
rnacentral:tRNA from 1 species